UGGACUACUGGGGUUUCUAAUCCUGUUUGCUACCCAUGCUUUCGAGCCUCAGCGUCAGUGACAGACCAGACAGCCGCUUUCGCCACUGGUAUUCUACCAUAUAUCUACGCAUUUCACCGCUACACAUGGUGUUCUACUGUCCUCUUCUGUACUCAAGUCGCUCAGUUUCCAAUGCACUUCUUCGGUUAAGCCGAAGGCUUUCACAUCGGACUUAAACAACCGCCUGCGCUCGCUUUACGCCCAAUAAAUCCGGAUAACGCUUGCCACCUACGUAUUACCGCGGCGGCUGGCACC
rnacentral:misc_RNA from 1 species